rnacentral:rRNA from 1 species
GACGAACGCUGGCGGCGUGCCUAAUACAUGCAAGUCGAGCGGAACACUUGGAGCUUGCUCCAAGCGUUUAGCGGCGGACGGGUGAGUAACACGUGGGCAACCUGCCCUGCAGAUCGGGGUAACUCCGGGAAACCGGUGCUAAUACCGAAUAGUUUGAGGCCUCUCCUGAGGCUUCACGGAAAGACGGUUUCGGCUGUCACUGCAGGAUGGGCCCGCGGCGCAUUAGCUAGUUGGUGGGGUAACGGCCCACCAAGGCCACGAUGCGUAGCCGACCUGAGAGGGUGCCCGGCCACACUGGGACUGAGACACGGCCCAGACUCCUACGGGAGGCAGCAGUAGGGGAUCUUCCGCAAUGGACGCAAGUCUGACGGAGCAACGCCGCGUGAGUGACGAAGGUUUUCGGAUCGUAAAACUCUGUUGUGAGGGAAGAACACGUACCAACUAACUAUUGGUACCUUGACGGUACCUCACCAGAAAGCCACGGCUAACUACGUGCCAGCAGCCGCCGUAAGAC